rnacentral:rRNA from 1 species
GAUGAACGCUGGCGGCGUGCUUAACACAUGCAAGUCGAACGGAAAGGCGCCUGCUUGCAGGGGCACUCGAGUGGCGAACGGGCGAGUAACAAGCGGGUGAUCUGCCCUGCACUUCGGGAUAAGCCUGCGAAACUGGGCCUCAUACUGGAUCGGACGCUGGUAUGGAUGCCAUUGUGGAACGUUUUGCGGUGUGGGAUGAGCUCGCGGGCUAUCAGCUUGUUGGUCGGGUAAUGGGAUACGAAGGCGUCGACGGGUAGCCGGCAUUGGAGGGUGUACGGGGACAUUGGGACUGAGAGACGGACCAGUCGGCAACGGGGGGCAGCGGGGGAGAAUAUUGCACAGUGGGGGCGAGUCUGAUGCAGCGGCGCCGGGUGUGUGAUGACGGCCUUCGGGUUGUAAACGCCUUUCGCUAGAGACGGAGCUCAAGUGACGGUACCUAGAGAAGAAGCACCGGCUAACUACGUG